rnacentral:lncRNA from 1 species
GUUAAACCAGUGAACCUCUGGAGGGGGGGAUGGGGAAGAGCAACUCUGGCAUCUAUACUUCGCUAUUACCUACUUUCGCAAGACUUAUCUGCAAUCCUAUUAGCUUCACGGAAGAUGUGCAGCAGCCUGAAGGAUCCAACUAACUGAAGAAGUCUUCUAGUUUCAAGCACAAUGGCAACAAAGGGUGAGUGGAUCUAAUUUCCCCGUUAAAAAGUAAAUGCAUGUGACAUCAUUUUAAUUUAUGAAUACUAAAAAAAAUAAGAGAUUUUUGGAGAUUUGAAAUUACCUUGUUGGUCUAGAGGGAAUGUAGGGGACGAUUUCAGCUAAUUAGCCAUAAUUAUUGCAUUCAAAAUCACACACAAAUAAUCCAUCCAAACGGUUUAUUUCAAAAAUAGCAAACCUCAUCCAAAUAUGAAGUCGUAUGAUAUUAUCUGAUACCUAUAGGGCCUCGUUUGGUAUGCGAUAUCUCGAAUAUUAUGAUAUUCGAGAUAUCGUGAUAUUGAGUGUUAUUAAUAUUGGUAGGGAAUAUUAUAAAAUUAUUGUUUGAUAUGAUUAAAAAUAAAAUUACGGAUAUAGCCCCACUAAUAUUCUUACUUUCCCAAUUCAAAAGUUUUGCCAAUUGUUAGUUUGUGUUUAGAGUUGGGAAAUUUUUAUAUUCAUUGAUUCUGUCGUGAAUGAUUAUUGGUGGAUGAGAGAUAGCCACUGAAUCGUUCAGGAGGGAAUUGGUCUACGGGAAGUGUCUGGGGAGUUGAUUUGAGAGAAAGAGCGUCGAGGGAAGGGUGAGUAGGAAUGUCGUCGUCGUCAACGACGCAUUACAAGGAAGAAACUACCUUAGCCGGAGUUGUUGAGGCAUAAAGAGGUGAGAAGCUAUGUGCAGUGAAGACGAAGGAGAAUUGAAAGUGAUAGAGUAUUGGUAUGAAGAAAUGGAUUUUGUAUUGUUUUGCGAGUAUAUGUCAAUCUGGGAAAUUGGAAGGAAUCAAUGGAAACAAGAAACAAGAGAGCGGGAAGAGGAAAGAUUGCCAGAUGGGUAAUGGUGGAGGUGCGUGAGAUGAAGAAGGCGGAUGAAAGUGAGAAAUUGUACGGACAAAUCAUCAAUCCUCUGUCCGUCACGGUGAUGUCGUCGUCGCAGCUUCUUCUCCACUCCCGUCGAAUGCGAAGAAGAGAGAGCAUGUUAUUAUCAGCCAAAAUGGAAAAAAGAAGAAAACAUGGCAAUUAUUGCGCCAAAAAAUCAGGAGAAUGUGGACCAGAUGAUAAUGUGGCUGUGUAAUUACAACAAAUUUAAGAGGUAAAUAUGCCCAGUUGGAAUGAUAUUAGAGUGCUAUUCACAUAUUUUGUUUUUAGAGGAUAUUCAAUAUUGCAGUUUUGUGAUAUUGAUAUAUGUGAAUAUCGUGAUAUUUCCGUUUCGAAACACGUAAAUAUUUCGGAUAUCACGGUAUUGGGUGAUAUCAUAUUAGAUAUCACUCAUACCAAACAAUCCCUAUUUUUACAAAAUGGAAAUGGGCUGUGAACUCUUAGCUGAAUACAUAGUAAAAUGCGGACCACACCCUUAUAGUUUUAAGUUAGUGCAUCGGAUAUCAUUAUAUUUAAGAUUCUGCACCGGAUGCCAUUAUAAUAAUAAUUUAAGUGCACUUACCUCUUUUUAUAGGUUUCAUGAGAUUCAACAGGUUAUCGAGUUGAUGUGGCUGCCACAAAGCUACAAACGAAUCUUAAAAAUAAAUAAAAAAUUAAAAAACAGAACUAAAAAGAAUGCCCCAAAUUUUUUUUCUCUCAUAAUCUUCUUCCUUAAUAAAGGACUUUAAAUUUAACAAAUGCCUAAUUAACGUUGUUGUUUAUCUCCGUAAUAUCUCCCUUAAAUCAUUCAAAGUUGUAUAACCCUCAAGAAUUUAAUUCCUUUUUUGAUCCCUCGAGGACGACUCUGGCUAUUUAAAGUGAGUUUCACUUCCAUAGAUCUGGCGAGGUAGGUAAAUACCCUUUCAUUUUGUUUCAUGUUCUUAAACUACUCAUCUUCUUCUUCAAUACGUUCCUCAAAAAACGGUUUGUAAGAUCUGUUUUCUUAAUUUAAUUUAUUUAUGUACAGGUUAGUGGAGGUU